rnacentral:miRNA from 2 species
AUAGUUCAAGAAAGUCCUUGGAAA